UGACUGCUCUUCCAGAGGUCCUGAGUUCAAUUCCUAGUAACCACACGGUGGCUCACAAGCACCUGUAAUAGGAUUGCCCUCUUUUGGUGUGUUUGAAGAUGGUGACAGUGUAUUCAUCUACAUCAAAUAAAUAAAUCCUUUUUUCAAAUUCACUAAUUUUUUUAAAAAAGAAUAUUUUAUGAUGAGAUCAUAAGCCUAGCAACCAGGGAAGGAAACAGAUAAAAAGGAAUGUCAAGAAGUGUAGAUGGCUUUAUCAUUUGAAUACUCUACUGGCCUACUUGGCAAGACUCUGGAGACCGAGAGAGCAGAGCAGUCACAAGUCAACCACCAGUAACCAGCAGCCUUCAGGAAGAUAGUAGGGUAGCCCCAGGCCAGACUGCAUGAACAGGGCUAGAGAGGAUACAUAGGCCUCCAGGAAAUAUAUCCUCUUGAAAACUCAGUCUCCAAGGCUUUAAUUUUUCCAUUUCAUUAAGCUCCAACUGUUGGCAAGAGAUGCCUAGUGUCAGAAGUGCACACUCUGAUUAUAUUCUGACUGAGGAAGGAGACACUGACUCAACACAUUUCCUGAUGCCCAGCGGACUUGGUAUCCAGUUAGCCAGCUUUUGGGUGUCAUGGAGGCUUUACUAUCUGACUGGUGGCACAGAAUCAGUGGCAUGUCUGGGGUCUUUUGGCUUAUUUUUCUGAUACCGGAAAUCGGUGUGAAUAAACAUGUGCUGAUAACUGUACUCAACUGACUAUCUCGCCUUUCAGUAAUUUCAUUUUGUCCUUUCACCGAAGGGUAAAUGGAUGAGUAGAAAUGCAUUUCUACAUUUGUGAUUCCUCUAAGAGCUGUUGUAGAGUUAGCUGAUGUCUCAUGUCUCUUACAGAAUGGUUCCUGUAACAGAUGCUCCCCGAUGACUGAGGCUAUAAAUGUAUCCAGAAGAAGCUGUGGCCUCUCCACUUCCUGCUCGAGCUGUCUGCUGCCGUGCGUCCCACAUCCGUCAUAGACUCUCCUCUGAAACUACCCACAGCUCCCAACCAGAGUGGAGAAAUGGCAGUAUGGAGCUAUCUGUUAUGAAGAACACUGUCCUGCGUACAGGUCUUUGCUUCAGGUA